AUUGAACGCUGGCGGCAGGCCUAACACAUGCAAGUCGAGCGGAGCGGCGGACGGGUGAGUACUGCCUAGGCAUCUGCCUGGUAGUGGGGGAUAACGUCCGGAAACGUGCGCUAAUACCGCAUACUAUCAGAUGAGGCUCGGUCGGAUUAGCUAGUUGGUGGGGUAAAGGCCUACCAAGGCGACGAUCCGUAACUGGUCUGCGAGGAUGAUCAGUCCAACGGGAACUGAGACACGGUCCAGACGCCUACGGGAGGCAGCAGUGGGGAAUAUUAGACAAUGGGCGGAAGCCAGAUGCAGCGACGCCGCGUGGGGGAUGACGGCCUUCGGGUUGUAAACUCCUUUCACCAUCGACGCGGUAGAUGGAGAAGAAGCACCGGCUAACUACGUGCCAGCAGCCGCGGUAAUAC
rnacentral:rRNA from 1 species